rnacentral:rRNA from 1 species
GGUAUGCCCUAGUACGGCGAGUGACAGGCAAGAGCUCAGAUUUGAAAGGCACUUUUGUGCCGGUGUAUCUAAGUAAGGGUCCUGAGAAACGAUGCUUAAGUCUUCUGGAAAGAGAGCAACCAUGGAGGGUGAUAGCCCCGUCUAGCAUUGACCUCAUAUAGGAUCUUAACAUGGAGUCGAGUUGUUUGGGAAUGCAGCUCAAAUGGGUGGUAUGCUCCAUCUAAAGCUAAAUAUCUGCGAGAGACCGAUAGUAAACAAGUACUGUGAGGGAAAGAUGAAAAGAACUUUGAAAAGAGAGUGAAAAAGUACGUGAAAUUGUUGAAAUGGAAGGGUAGGCCGCUAACCAUGUAGAGCCGUGUUUGGGGGGAAGAUAAAUGCUGUAGAAUGUAGCUCCUCGGAGUAUUAUAGAUGCAGUUCAUAUUCCCACCCGAGCGCGAGGAUCUCAGGUUCUACUAAAUGGUGGUCUACCACCCGUCUUGAAACACGGACCAA